GGGCUGCUUGCUAUCAGCAAAGUAGAGAGAUUUAACGGAUCUUGCCGAGAAUGCAAGCCUCAUUCCAAGGAAGCCAGAGCUCAGAAGACAUGGAACAAAUACAAUGAAAACAUAACUUGAGGUCGGAAAAUGUCCCCUGAAUAUUUAUGUCAAUGUCCUACCUUAGUGAAUAUUACUUAAUACUGUGGCUCCUUUAAAGCAUUGUGAUUUCAUUAUGAAGUCAGAUGGAAUGAGGAGUGUGUAAAUCCAGAAUCAGAAUCCCAGCGACGAAGCUUUUCUUGCUCUGUUACCUUGGAAAAUGCUUUGAACCAGACCAGAUAAGAAAAGUAAAAGUCUGGAGUGUAAUCCUUCCAAUUGUCUUUUGGCUUCUCUUCUACUUCUACAAAAAGUUCAACAAGUCGGUGGGCAGAAGUCUAAAAUCAAGGUGUCAGCAGUGUGGAAUCCUUCUGGAGGCUUUGAGGUACUCGACUGUGGUUCAAUCUCCAGACCUAGAACAGGAAUAGAAGCAAAGGGAUUUUCAAUAUAAAUAUUAGUUGAAUGGUAUGAAGUAAAA
rnacentral:lncRNA from 1 species